GGUGGCAGUGACGCACGGCUCUGCGCGCGCCCUGGAGACGCGUAACGCGCGAGCGUCCUCCGGCCGGCCCCUUCCUCGUCGUCCUCGUCGUCCUCGCAAAUGCGGACUCAGAGCAAAGCAGCUCCCUUUGGCACGGGGAGGAGCGCCGCUAACUCGACCACGCUCGCUCCCGUGAGGCGGCUCGCUUGCCGGCGAUCUCCGACGGACGGCUCGCUAGGAGAAAUGAGAAAAUGGAACCGAGGGAGCUUGUGAAAGAGGAGAUCCUUGAGACAAAGCGCAGUGCCAGCCAGAAGCUCAGCCUCGGAUACCUGCACGUGGCCGUCAGACAGAAGAUGGGCAUGAAGACGAGAGCAGAGACAGACCCUACAUUGCACCAAGGCCACGUCAGCUAUGCAGGAGACAGUGGACCUGCAAAUGCAACAAGAAACAGGAAGCUCUUCUUUAACGUCCGUUGUUGCCUUCGUCCUCCCAGCGGCUUCUCCUGCAAGAAGAUGUGGAUGAAGAUCAAGUGAGCACCAGGCUGCCGCCAUAUGUGCAGGAACACCUGCAGAAUAAAAAGUCCUGUUC
rnacentral:lncRNA from 7 species